CAUACCAGUUAGUUGAACUGAUGAAGCUGCUCAGAUGAGUAGUGAAACGUCUUCAAUGAUUAUUCAGCAAGUUCAGUUGCUCUAGAAUUACUUAUCCUAGAAACAAUCUAGUGCAUUUCUCUAUAUACUCAUGAGCUAUUAUCUCUGUAGCUUUGAUGAUAACAGAAUAGGUACUCUAAAUCUGCUGAUACUGAAUCACUUCUCUGUCUCCUUCUAGGUGGAUAUCAUUGUAGUGUUGGGUGGCCUUGGUGGACGAUUUGACCAGAGAAUGGCAUCAGUUGAAACACUUUAUCAUUCUGUUACACCUUUACCAGUAAUAAUUAUUCAAGAUACCUCUCUAACCUAUCUUCUAAAGCCUCACACUAAGGAAAAUCUAAAGCCUACUUUGCAGUUGGGCAGAAGGUUUCUGAAAAAACCUGGAAUUAAUCCUUCCUUUGCUGUUCUUCUCUACACCGCAGCUCAUAAGCAAGAAGAAAGGGUCUAAAGAACCCAUUGAGGAAGAGGUCCUAUAAGAAAUGUUCUUACAUAAUUUACACACUUACACUUGUCAUUAAAGUGAUGGGUCAGAACAAGUUCACUCACUGCACUUCUGUAUUUCAGAAAAAAGUAAAAUAAUUGUGUUGUUAUUAUUAUUAUUAUUAUUAUUAUUAUUAUGUGUUAUGUUGUUAAGACAACUUGACUUUAGGGUUAAAAUGACACAGAUUUCAUUGCAGUGCUUUAAAUCACCUUUUGAAGGAGUGAAAUGAUUAUCAAACGAUUGAGCUAGCAAAACAUGUAGCUGCAGUAUUAUUAUAAACCAAAUAAAGCUUCUGUGUUGCAGAUAUUGGCAGCUAUAAUAUUCUCUUUCUUAAAACUGUAAAUAUUCUAUAACGCUGCUGAUAAAUGGUGCAUUCCUGUUGUGUUUUUCUGCAAACUUUUUACUGUCAUUUUAAAGUGCAAAAAUCAUGAUGUCUCUUCACCUUUGUCAUAUUUUCAAGUACAACAUUGAAUUCAUGUAAAUUUAAUGAAGUCAUGCAUAGAAAUGUAUUCUCGUUUCUGCACUUAACAUCACAUAUGGCAGCUCCAUGAACUUAAAAAUUCUGCCUUUUGUUGUAAAUAAAUAUCCAGCAUCCUUUU